GAGAUUGCACGAUUGUACUCCAGCCUGGGUAGUAAGAGCGAAACUCCAUCUCAGAAAAACAAAAAACAAAAACAAAAAAGCAAAACAACCCUUGGCUCCUCAAGCAUGUGAGCUCAGGCAGGGCCAGCCCAGCCUUAACUGUGGAGGCUGGUGGGACAGUCCCAUGGGGAAGCCCACUGCUGCGCCGCUUGGAGGAGGAAACCCAGCAUGUGAGGCUGCUCAUUGUCACGUGGUUUGCUGUGCUCUGCAGAAGGAGAUUCUGUGUUCACACCCAGGAUGUCAUGGAAGAGGAGCUCAUCCCAUUCAUCUCCCUGGCACAGGGUAGACACUUGGGGGAUGCUGCAUUAAGUGAAGUGAACCUGACUCUGUUUCUUUAGCCCCAGCCCACCCGAGUCUCAAUCUUCCCAUCUGUCAAGAGAAAUAAUAAGAUUAUUUGCCUCUAAACAGGUGGCUGAGAUCAUAGAUAGUGCAAAUGAUGUCACUGUUGGACUCUCCGGUGUUAUAUAAAUUUAAGACAUGAACAAUAAAGAAACUACCGAUAUUUACUGCUCAGACAUGCCCACGUUAAGAUUUUAAUGGCUAAAAGGCAGUUGUUUUUCCAUCUGACAUUAUGUUAUUCAACAGAGUAAGUAGUCUAAGUUGGAGGAAUCCCCUUGGGAAUUGACUACAAAGAGCAAAUAAAAAAGAGUAACAGAUCCAAGACCCUUACCCCUUAAAUUUAUUUUCACUUCCUAAAUUGAACUUCAUGCAAAAUAGGUUAUUUAUCACUAGGGUAAAAUAAGAUAAUGGGGAGGUUUAAUUAGCCAAAGCCCUGUGAUAACGCGUUUCUUCCUUACCAAAUACCCAAUGAGAAUGCAUAUCAUUAAUUCUGUGGUUAGCUAAUAAGAAAAUGAAAAAAGCUCCCUUAAUUUUUCCUUGAAAAAAUUUUUAAACUAACACAAAGAUGCCAAUGAAUGAGUAUUUUGCUUACAUCCAUUCACUCCAUCCAACUCUCAUUCAAAUGCUCAUUGUGCACCUGCUAAGGUCAGGUGCGUGCUUUCUGCCAAGCAUUCCAAGAGGAACGUCACAUAGUCUUUGCCCUCAGGAAGCGUACGGUCUGGUUGGGAAAGAGAUGCUUCCAACAAUAAUUCUGAUACCUGUGUGAUAUGGUUUGGCUGUGUCCCCACCCAAAUCUCAUCCUGAAUCCUACUCCCAUAAUUCCCACGUGUUGUGGGAUGGAACUGGUGAGAGAUAAUUGAAUCACGAGCGCGGUUUCUCCCAUACUGUUCUUGUGCUAGUGAAUAAAUCUCACGAGAUCUGAUGGUUUUAUAAACGAGAAGCCCUUUUCGCUUGACCCUCAUUAUAGCUCAUGCCGCAGCCAGGUAAGAAGUGCCUUUCGCCUUCCGCCUUCCGCCAUGACUGUUAGGCCUCCCUAGCCACGUGGAACUUUAAGUCCAUUAAACGUCUUUCUUUUAUAAAUUGCCCAGUCUUGGGUAUGUCUUUAUCAGCAGCGCGAAAACAGAUUACUAACACACUGUGGUAAAGGUGAAAUCAGUGCUCACUCCUUCGGGUGAAUUCCGUCACAUAAUCUCCACUGGGGAAGGGGUGGGCAUGGGCAGCUCCUGGGAGCUGAUGUCUUAGGGGCCCUAACACAAAAGUUCAUGCAGUUCAGCAUCCCUUCCCCUCCCAUGCCCCACAGGGCACAAACGCAUUGUUGUCCAUCACCAAAACACAUUACCCUUAGUACUCGACUCUAAUGAAGUUCCAGUUCCUCAGUUGUAUAACGAGGCUUCCAAGCUCCUAUUUUAAAAGAAAGUUUCUUGAAGCUAAAUAAAAGCACUGCUAACAUGAAAUUAACAGUGGAAAUUUUUGAGUGUAAUUUCAGGGUGAAAAAAACUGAAAAGACAAAUGUAGAUUUUAGAUAUUUCAAGGAAGGAGAGAGAGUAGUGUUGCUGGUACCAUGCCUCUGCACUUGCUAUAGCUGAGUUUCAUUUGAGUAUCCAUUAUUUGGAAGGAGUUCUUAAAUCUAAGCCUGUGGAAGACAAUAAAUUCACAUUAAUUAUCUCUCCAUUUGACUCAAUUUCUGAAGAAGUUCUAUCCUUCUGAUGAACUAUCAGAUUAAAUCCCAGAUUCCUCAGUAUGAUGUCCCUGAAUACCAAUAUAAAGAAUAAAGGAAGAGAUCAAAACCUGGAUGAAUAAUCUGUAUAAACAUGGGCAUAUACACAAGGUAUGACUAUAAUAUUGAGACUCAUCCUAUAAAGCACCUACAAAAGUUGAUUGUAUUAUUUUAUACUUAUGCUUGUGCACAUAAAAAAUAUUUGGCAGGCUAAAGGCCAAAGAACCAGGCACUGUUCUCAAAAGGACAUAGCAGAUUAACUACACCUCUAUUUGUCCUUCUAUACUCAAGGCUACUUACUGUAGUUGGGUUGACCAGGCAGAGUUUAAAUCAAUAUAUGUUGGUUGAGCCUGGAUCUUAGAUGAGAAAUUCACACUAACGUGAAAUUCACACAGACAUAUGUGGAAACACUAAAAACAUUUUCUUUUACUUCAUCCACCAGUGACUUUAAUGAAAGCAGAGCAUAAUAAUUAAUACAAGUAAUUAGAGUUGACAACUGAAGUGUCAAGAAAACCACAGUUCAUCUGUUAUCCGUCCAUCUCUGUUGAAAUAUUAGUUUACUGCCAUAUAUUAAUCUAUUUAUAAAGAGAUCCAGACAAUUAGAAAAAUUAGUCUGGAAUCACCAGGCUGAAGGCUUAGCUGAAGUUAAAAGACAAGUAAAAAUGCCUCCAAACUGUAAAACCUGAGUUGGGGAAUAAAUGGUAAAAUGUGUAAAAAUUUAGAAAAAGGUUAUAUGUGGACUGUAAAAAAUACACUGGACUCACAGGUAAUUAAGGGGUGAAUCAGAGUUGUUUCCUAAAUGGCAUAAGCCAAACUCUUAGAUAUUUCUACCAUUAGCUAAAAGGCAGAGAAGCACUCUCUCUCUCUAUUAAUGCACUUUUAAAAAUGAAAAUUGUGAAGUGUUCUGCCCUUAAAGUGGACCUUUAUUUCAGGUCUGCAUUACUUUGCUUAAUAGAUAUGGUCCUAAAGAUUAAGGUGGUGAUCCAUUUUAUCUUGUAAAAAUGCAUAAUUUAAUCUGAGUUAUAGGAAUUUAAAGCUGCCCUACUUUGAAGGCCUUUGUGACUCAAAGAUUUUUUUAAUUUAAUUUUUAAAUUGAGAAUUACCUGGCUUGGGCUUUUGGUCUUUUUAUAAUACGUAUUGCUGUCUACUUUUUUUUUUAUUCUUGGCUGCCUCAAGCUAUUCUUGCCUCCAAAAGGUGUCAGCAUAUGAAUAAAAACAGCAGAAAAUAAUUACCCUAAUUAGGUCAAUGUAUUAAGCUGUUUCUACAACUGUUUCUCUUAAACACCUUAUCUUUGUAGUCUUGGCUCAUUAGAAAUUCGACUAGUGGUAAGUAUUUAUUUUUUUCCUUCAAGGGGGUUUUUGCUUUGCUAAGCCUCGGGCAUUUGGUUCGUGCAAGAAAUCACAGAAACUGCUCCAGCGGACUCCGAAAGGAGCGGAAAAUUCUUUUGUUUGGGGGCCAUGAGGGGUGGGGGAGGGGUGGGGAUUCUGGUGUAAGCUUUUGGCUUGCAUUCGCUUUCUCCCUCCGAAAGUGGGCGACAUCAAGCAAGUCCCAGUUACAGAAAGAACCCACUGCAGGGCGUCCAGUCACUUGCCCAGUGAAAAGACUGUAAUCAGACAACUUUAAUAAAGGGAGAGCAGGAGAGUGGUGACGAAUUUCCACAUUCCGAACAAGCUUGUCGAAAGAGGAGUGCAGGGAAGGAGCAAGAAUGAGGCACUGGAAGACGGUGAGCGGGGCCUUGCCACAGAAUCCCGGGCCCACCUGCUUUCUCACAGUCGCGACAGCCGGCCCGGAGAAGGGCAGCCCAGCGAAGGGCACGCCCCGCGCGGGUGCCAGGGAGGCCGGCAGGGGCGUCCGCGGUCGCUGCUCACCUGCGCUCCCCGCUGCCCGGCCCAGCCCGCCUCGCCACCGAGUCUGGAAGCCCACACUCACCCCUUUACCCGGGAAACGCGGCCGGAGCCGGCGGCGGGUCGGGAGUCCGAGAUGGUAGAUCCCCCUCCAGGCGCCUCGCUGACAUUUUGUCCCGGACGGAAAACCUCCGCGCGUGCCCCUUAAAGACACAGCGCUGCAUUCACACGUCUGCGGGGAAAGGGGGGCCGUCACGUGUGGCCUUCGCCCGAAAGCGGUAGGGGAGUCGCUCUGAAACCGCCAAGGAUCGCGAGCGACAGAUUUGUGUUGGCCAGGGUUUUAAGAUGACGCAAUAGCUGAGUGUGGUUGAAAUGCUGUAGGCGCAUGAUGUCACAAGUUAUUGGAAGAAAUCCCUCCAACCUAGGUUGGGACAGAUGAAGGCGGCGCUUAUUGGUGUUCACCAAAACACCAGCAUGGUGUACCAGCUUUGGCUAGAUGAUGCUCAGACGGGCCUGUCUAAUUGCAGGAAAACAAACUCAGGGCUCCCACUGAUUCUACAUUACGAACACCAGAGACUGGGUAAUUAAUAAAAAGAAGAAAUUGAUCUGGCCUACAGUUCUGGAGCCUUGGAAGUCCGAGAUCAAGGAGCUGCAUCUGGAAAACACAGAUCCUGGUGCCGAACAUGAGGACAGGGCAGGCCGAAGGAGAAAGUGGAAGGAGGGGAGCUUCUCUCUCAGCCUCAUCCUUCUGGGCCUGGAUGCUGGAGAGUCAUGAGGUGCUUCAGAGUACUCUGGGUGAGGAGGGAAAGAUGGUGCCCACCACAUGGAGGCCAGCCUAGGUCUUGUAUGAAACCUGUGAGCUAGCUGAAAGCAGAGAACCCAGCAGAGGAUUCUGGGAAGGUCCUGGGGGAUGGCAGAGCCAGCAGAGAGAGGGUAUGGAUCCACCAGGCAUAGGAUGGAACAGAGCACUAUUGACCACAGUGAACUGGGGCAUGGGCAAUCAAUAAACACAUAUUAGAUUAAGCUAUUGAGACUCAGGGAUUUUUAUACAACUGACAUUCCCUAAGAAGCCAUGAUCUUCCUGUCUCAGGAGGUGCAUAAGCAGUGGUUGAAUGUUCAACAGUCAAGAAUGUUAUAAAAAGAGGUUCUUGGGAGAGUGGACCUGAUGGCCAGCAAAAAUCAUAGCUCACAUUUAUUGAGUUAUUAUGGCUCAGGCAUGUGCACAUAUUCUUUUAUUUAAAUCUACAAUAUGCUUUAUCAUGCUCAUUUUAUACAUGAGGAACACAAGGCAUGGAGAGGUUAGAUAACAUGCCUAAGAUCAUGAAGCAAGCAAGGGGGAGAAAAGAUACCCUUCUCACUCCUUCCAGACAGCUCACUUCACCACCACUCCCCACUGUCUCUAAAGCAAAAGUUAUUUGAAGGCUUAGGGACUGGUUUGGUAUUAUCCAUGCAGGGCGGUUUGUUUUGUUUUUCUUUUAAAAUUUCAGCCUAUGCUUAAAAGAUUUCAUGUAAAAAUUCUGUUUUCUAGUUUCUCUUGAAAAUUAAGAAGAUCUGGUAAAACUGGGCUUGAAGACCAUUAUGGUAACAGGCUGCUGAAGCUGAGGAGAGGGCCCCUUCAGAUGGGCAUAAGCACUGCUCCCCCUCCCCAACCCCCCUUUUAGGUUACUAUCAGACUCUGGAAGCUUCUGAAUGUGUGAACCCUGAAAGAGUCCAUCUAAAGCUAAGUUCUCCCCAGGGGUAGAGCCCAAUGCUGGGCAUACAGUAGGG
rnacentral:lncRNA from 10 species